rnacentral:rRNA from 1 species
GACGAACGCUGGCGGCGUGCUUAACACAUGCAAGUCGAACGAUGAAGCUGGAGCUUGCUCUGGCGGAUUAGUGGCGAACGGGUGAGUAACACGUGAGAGAUCUGCCCGUGACUCUGGGAUAACUGCGGGAAACUGUAGCUAAUACCGGAUACUUUCCCUGGUUGGCAUCCACUGGGGAAGAAAGAAUUUAGGUCAAGGAUGAUCUCGCGGCCUAUCAGCUUGUUGGUGAGGGAAUGGCUCACCAAGGCGACGACGGGUAGCCGGCCUGAGAGGGUGACCGGCCACACUGGGACUGAGACACGGCCCAGAAUCCUACGGGAGGCAGCAGUGGGGAAUAUUGCACAAUGGGCGCAAGCCUGAUGCAGCAACGCCGCGUGAGGGAUGAAGGCCUUCGGGUUGUAAACCUCUUUUAGCAGGGAAGAAGCGAAAGUGACGGUACCUGCAGAAAAAGCACCGGCUAACUACGUGCCAGCAGCCGCGGUAA